rnacentral:rRNA from 1 species
GACGAACGCUGGCGGCGUGCUUAACACAUGCAAGUCGAGCGGGGGUAGCAAUACCCUAGCGGCGGACGGGUGAGGAAUGCAUCGGAACGUGCCGAGUAGUGGGGGAUAACGCAGGGAAACUCGGGCUAAAUACCGCAUACGCUCUACGGAGGAAAGCCGGGGACCGCAAGGCCUGGCGCUAAUAGAUGAGCCCAAGUCGGAUUAGCUAGUUGGUAGGGUAACGGCCUACCAAGGCGACAAUCCGAGCUGGUCUGAGAGGACGACCAGCCACACCGGAACUGAGACACGGUCCGGACUCCUACGGGAGGCAGCAGUGGGGAAUAUUGGACAAUGGGGGCAACCCUGAUCCAGCGACGCCGCGUGGGUGAAGAAGGCCUGCGGGUUGUAAAGCCCUUUCGGU